UCCUUUUGACAGAGGAGAGGAAGAAGGGC
rnacentral:piRNA from 1 species